ensembl:miRNA Gm25693 predicted gene, 25693
AUAUAUAUAUAUAUAUGUGUGUGUGUGUGUGUGUGUGUGUGUGUAUACAUAUACACAUACAUACAUACAUACAUACAUA